rnacentral:rRNA from 1 species
GACGAACGCUGGCGGCGUGCUUAACACAUGCAAGUCGAACGGAAAGGCCCUGCUUUUGUGGGGUGCUCGAGUGGCGAACGGGUGAGUAACACGUGAGUAACCUGCCCUUGACUUUGGGAUAACUUCAGGAAACUGGGGCUAAUACCGGAUAGGAGCUCCUGCUGCAUGGUGGGGGUUGGAAAGUUUCGGCGGUUGGGGAUGGACUCGCGGCUUAUCAGCUUGUUGGUGGGGUAGUGGCUUACCAAGGCUUUGACGGGUAGCCGGCCUGAGAGGGUGACCGGCCACAUUGGGACUGAGAUACGGCCCAGACUCCUACGGGAGGCAGCAGUGGGGAAUAUUGCACAAUGGGCGGAAGCCUGAUGCAGCAACGCCGCGUGCGGGAUGACGGCCUUCGGGUUGUAAACCGCUUUCGCCUGUGACGAAGCGUGAGUGACGGUAAUGGGUAAAGAAGCACCGGCUAACUACGUGCCAGCAGCCGCGGUGAUACGUAGGGUGCGAGCGUUGUCCGGAUUUAUUGGGCGUAAAGGGCUCGUAGGUGGUUGAUCGCGUCGGAAGUGUAAUCUUGGGGCUUAACCCUGAGCGUGCUUUCGAUACGGGUUGACUUGAGGAAGGUAGGGGAGAAUGGAAUUCCUGGUGGAGCGGUGGAAUGCGCAGAUAUCAGGAGGAACACCAGUGGCGAAGGCGGUUCUCUGGGCCUUUCCUGACGCUGAGGAGCGAAAGCGUGGGGAGCGAACAGGCUUAGAUACCCUGGUAGUCCACGCUGUAAACGGUGGGUACUAGGUGUGGGGUCCAUUCCACGGGUUCCGUGCCGUAGCUAACGCUUUAAGUACCCCGCCUGGGGAGUACGGCCGCAAGGCUAAAACUCAAAGGAAUUGACGGGGCCCCGCACAAGCGGCGGAGCAUGCGGAUUAAUUCGAUGCAACGCGUAGAACCUUACCUGGGUUUGACAUGGAUCGGGAGUGCUCAGAGAUGGGUGUGCCUCUUUUGGGGUCGGUUCACAGGUGGUGCAUGGCUGUCGUCAGCUCGUGUCGUGAGAUGUUGGGUUAAGUCCCGCAACGAGCGCAACCCUUGUUCACUGUUGCCAGCACGUUAUGGUGGGGACUCAGUGGAGACCGCCGGGGUCAACUCGGAGGAAGGUGGGGAUGACGUCAAGUCAUCAUGCCCCUUAUGUCCAGGGCUUCACGCAUGCUACAAUGGCUGGUACAGAGAGUGGCGAGCCUGUGAGGGUGAGCGAAUCUCGGAAAGCCGGGCUCAGUUCGGAUUGGGGUCUGCAGCUCGACCUCAUGAAGUCGGAGUCGCUAGUAAUCGCAGAUCAGCAACGCUGCGGUGAAUACGUUCCCGGGGCU